rnacentral:rRNA from 1 species
GUGGGGAAUCUUCCGCAAUGGACGAAAGUCUGACGGAGCAACGCCGCGUGAGUGAUGAAGGUCUUCGGAUUGUAAAGCUCUGUUAAUCGGGACGAAAGAGCCUAGUGUGAAUAAUGCUAGGAAGUGACGGUACCGGAAUAGAAAGCCACGGCUAACUACGUGCCAGCAGCCGCGGUAAUACGUAGGUGGCAAGCGUUGUCCGGAAUUAUUGGGCGUAAAGCGCGCGCAGGCGGAUCUGCCAGUCUGUCUUAAAAGUUCGGGGCUUAACCCCGUGAUGGGAUGGAAACUACAGAUCUAGAGUAUCUGAGAGUAAAGUGGAAUUCCAAGUGUAGCGGUGAAAUGCGUAGAGAUUUGUAAGAACACCAGUGGCGAAGGAGACUUUCUGGACGAUGUCUGACGCUGAGGCGCGAAAGCUAGGGGAGCGAACGGGAUUAGAUACCCCUGUAGUCC